GGGGGUCUAGCUCACAUGGUAGAGCGUGCGCUUCGCAUGCGCAAGGCACGGGGAUCGAUACCCCGGUCCUCCA